UACGGGGGGGGCAAGCGUUGUUCGGAAUUACUGGGCGUAAAGGGCUCGUAGGCGGCCAACUAAGUCAGACGUGAAAUCCCUCGGCUUAACCGGGGAACUGCCUCUGAUACUGGAUGGCUUGAGGUUGGGAGAGGGAUGCGGAAUUCCAGGUGUAGCGGUGAAAUGCGUAGAUAUCUGGAGAAACACCGGUGGCGAAGGCGGCAUCCUGGACCAAUUCUGACGCUGAGGAGCGAAAGCCAGGGGAGCAAACGGG
rnacentral:rRNA from 1 species